GGGACACGUGGUAUCCUGUCUGAAUAUGGGGGGACCAUCCUCCAAGGCUAAAUACUCCUGACUGACCGAUAGUGAACCAGUACCGUGAGGGAAAGGCGAAAAGAACCCCGGCGAGGGGAGUGAAAAAGAACCUGAAACCGUGUACGUACAAGCAGUGGGAGCACCUUCGGGUGUGACUGCGUACCUUUUGUAUAAUGGGUCAGCGACUUAUAUUCUGUAGCAAGGUUAACCGUAUAGGGGAGCCGCAGGGAAACCGAGUCUUAACUGGGCGUUAAGUUGCAGGGUAUAGACCCGAAACCCGGUGAUCUAGCCAUGGGCAGGUUGAAGGUUGGGUAACACUAACUGGAGGACCGAACCGACUAAUGUUGAAAAAUUAGCGGAUGACUUGUGGCUGGGGGUGAAAGGCCAAUCAAACCGGGAGAUAGCUGGUUCUCCCCGAAAGCUAUUUAGGUAGCGCCUCGUGAACUCAUCUUCGGGGGUAGAGCACUGUUUCGGCUAGGGGGUCAUCCCGACUUACCAACCCGAUGCAAACUACGAAUACCGAAGAAUGUUAUCACGGGAGACACACGGCGGGUGCUAACGUCCGUCGUGAAGAGGGAAACAACCCAGACCGCCAGCUAAGGUCCCAAAGUCAUGGUUAAGUGGGAAACGAUGUGGGAAGGCACAGACAGCCAGGAUGUUGGCUUAGAAGCAGCCAUCAUUUAAAGAAAGCGUAAUAGCUCACUGGUCGAGUCGGCCUGCGCGGAAGAUGUAACGGGGCUAAACCAUGCACCGAAGCUGCGGCAGCGACACUAUGUGUUGUUGGGUAGGGGAGCGUUCUGUAAGCCUGCGAAGGUGUGCUGUGAGGCAUGCUGGAGGUAUCAGAAGUGCGAAU
rnacentral:rRNA from 1 species